CCUACGGGGGGCAGCAGUGGGGAAUAUUGGGCAAUGGGCGCAAACCUGACCCAGCAACGCCGCGUGAAGGAAGAAGGCUCUCGGGUUGUAAACUUCUUUUAUCAGGGACGAAGCAAAUGACGGUACCUGAAUAAGAAGCCCCGGCUAACUACGUGCCAGCAGCCGCGGUAAUACGUUGGGGGCAAGCGUUAUCCGGAAUUACUGGGUGUAAAGGGUGAGUAGGCGGCAUGGUAAGCCAGAUGUGAAAGCCUUGGGCUUAACCCGAGGAUUGCAUUUGGAACUAUCAAGCUAGAGUACAGGAGAGGAAAGCGGAAUUCCUAGUGUAGCGGUGAAAUGCGUAGAUAUUAGGAAGAACACCAGUGGCGAAGGCGGCUUUCUGGACUGAAACUGACGCUGAGGCACGAAAGCGUGGGGAGCGAACAGGAUUAGAUACCCCAGUAGUC
rnacentral:rRNA from 1 species